UCCCUUCUCUUGGAUCCAAUCUGUAACCCUAAUGGUCCACCGGUUAUCCAUCCUACGCAUUACAUGGCCUGCCCAGCUCCAUUUCUUCUGCUUAAUUUCAACUAGAAUAUUGGCUAUCCCCGUUUGUUCUCUGAUCCACACCGCUCUCUUCCUGUCCCUUAACGUUAGUCCUAAGAUUUUUCGUUCCAUCGCUCUUUGUGUGGUCCUUAACUUGUUCUCGAGCUUCUUUGUUAACCUCCAAGUUUCUGCCCCAUAUGUUAGCACCGGUAGAAUGCAAUGAUUAUACACUUUUCUUUUCAACGACAUUGGUAAGCUCCCAGUCAGGAUUUGGUAAUGCCUGCCGUAUGCACUCCAACCCAAUUUUAUUCUUCUGUAAAUUUCUUUCUCGUGAUCAGGGUCCCCUGUGAGUAAUUGACCUAGAUAAACGUACUCCUUUACAGACUCUAGAGGCUGAUUGGCGAUUUUGAAUUCUUGUUCCCUUGCCAGGCUAUUGAACAUUAUCUUUGUCUUCUGCAUAUUCAUCUUCAACCCAAUUCUUACACUUUCUCGAUUAAGGUCCUCAAUCAUUUGUUGUAAUUCGUCUCCAUUGUUGCUGAAUAGGACAAUGUCAUCUGCAAACCGAAGGUUGCUGAGAUAUUCGCCGUUAAUCCUCACUCCUAAGCCUUCCCAGUCUAAGAGCUUGAAUACUUCUAAGCAUGCAGUGAAUAGCAUUGGAGAGAUUGUGUCUCCUUGCCUGGACCCCUUUCUUGAUAGGUAACUUUCUACUUUUCUUGUGGAGAAUCAAGGUAGCUGUGGAAUCCUUGUAGAUGUUUGCUAAGAUAUUCAUGUAUGCCUCCUGUACUCCUUGAUUACGCAAUGCCUCUAUGCUGUUUAAGAGGGACUAAUGCAGCGCGUGAUUGCAGCCAUAAUGAAGUCAUUAUUAUCAUUCAAAUGCUUAUAUCAAGACAGACUAACAUUUCAAAGGUCAGUACACAAAAGUAUUAACACAGUGAUGUGGGGCUUCCGCACCGCGGAACGGUGUGGGCAAAGGUUGGCGCCAUCAUCACUGACGUACGUAUGCUGCGCGCUCUUCUUCUGGCCCGCCAUUAAAGGGACGCAUCUAUUUUGCAAGCCUCCGUCUUAAGCCUACGUUACAAUAUAUAAUUCGAUUCCUAUUGCUCACUGCUUGAGCACCUUUGGGGUAAAGGAAUCAUGAAUUAUGUCCUCAUGUCGUUUUUAUCUGUCACCUGCAUUGUACAGUUUGUGAACAUGGAAGGAGAAGCUGAGCAAUAACUGUUUGGUGUUGUUGAAGCAACAAACCGUUCCGUAUCUCGCACUUUUGUAACAGUUACAUUAAUACACAGUUUUUUACUGCUUCCUUGAGGCAUUACACGAAAUUUCUCCUUUCCGCUGGCAUAAUUUCAAUGUUGUUGUUCUGGCAGUACAAGGUGUCCUGAAUGAGAAAGCUUGAAUGGUUAAAAAUGCAUUUUUUUGUCACUUCACCUCUAAUUAUUCAUGUUCUGUCCAUGGGCUCACAAUGUGGCUAUAAAUGACUCGUGUGUAUUGUAGUGGCAGCUUCAGAAAUCGAAUAAUUAUGGAUGGCCAUUGACAAUCUUACAAUGGCACUGGUCUGUUAUUGUAGCAUUGUAAGUGGUGUUGUUUUUCCACUCCUAUAAUGAUAUCUUAGGAACAAGCAUUCAUACUCGCACCGAGGAUGGAGGGCAGUGGUACAGCUAUGUCAAGAGGUGCUGCGCCAUUGGAUAAGGCGGCUAAUCAAGAAAGCAGUGAUGUUGCCUAGCCUUGCGAAAGCGCGAGAUGUAGGAGUGUUCAGUGGCUGAGAUGAUUAUUUUUAGAAAGGUGGUAAGCACGACUGAGGUCAGUUAACCAGACCAGAUUUAUUUGGUCAAUAUCCGGCAUGAACGUGUGAGGGCCGCUCUCAUUUAGGUGGCUGCAGAACAACAGCCAGAAUUUUCUCCCUCGACUGGUUUACUUCUGGGACCAGGUAUCCGGAAACAGCCACUAAAAUGGUGAGAAAAGUAAAUGGGAAGUUGUGCACGUCAUUGAGCCAGUUCUCUGAAAUAACUGGCUGGACCACAUUCCUCCGACCACAGGACGAUAAGUUAUGGCCUGCCCAUACCUGUGUUCACUUUGCAAGGUUCUGAUAUGCACAUUCCACUCUAUCAUUUAUUUUAUUUUUCAAACUGCCACUGGGCAAAAAGGAAUUUUUUUUCUAUUUAUGUGGAUCUUUAUGUAUUUCCAUUUUCUGGUAACUUAAUGUUAUUCAAGCCACGAAAAAGCUUGGAUUUCCGCACAGAAUCGAGCGCAACAUGCAGAGCAGGUGGUCUAGGAUGCAAAUGCGAGAACUAGGCGUAACGGUUGUCAUACUUUGAUCCUGGUGCCAUUGACAGAGAUAGGAAAAUAUAGGAUGCUAUGGUUGCUACCAUGACAAUGGACUAGCUACCAAAGGGUUCAUUUUUGUUGCAACUGCAUUUUUUUUCAUAAGAAAUGGUGCCUCAUCUGUUUGUGCUCUGACUUUUGUGCCAUAUUUUGCUUUCUCAGGUUUUGUUUGAUUCCACAGAGGCUGCAUGCAAGGUUGUGUUGAAUGAAACAUCUCACAUGCAUUGUCCCUCUAUUUGCUUUGCUUUCUCCACAUUGUGCAUUGUUAGAACAAUCACGAUACAACUCUCCAAAAUUAGUUUUUUGUUACAAAUGUGUAUUUGCAUGAAACAUAACUUGUUAAGGCCUGUGCAGUCAUCAUUUUACAGCUGUGCUUUAUGUUCAAUCUGCUCAGAGACUGCUAGAAAUUUUUCUGUGAAUCACCUUGCUGUGACGUUACAGGCAGACAUAUUAAUUGUGAGUAGUAUGCCUAUUUUUUAGCAUGAUCAGCUUCAUUCCCAAUUUUUUCUAGGGUAUAUGAAGUGAUGUAGGCACACAAAAAAAAAAAACCUUUCGAGAAUAUACUAUCACCAAGGUGCUUGUGUAGGUUUAGUGGUCUGAUGAGGUGGAAAUCUCCGAGUGCCAUUUCAGGGUAGUAGAACAGAUGGUCCAGUACCCUAACCAGCAGCAGUGUGAUAAUGCGUAGUAUGCAAUGGGCUGAGUGUGGCCACGUCUUGUCGUGCUCCAAAACAACUGUCGAGAGAUGUUCAGGCUUUUUUUAGUUUGUGAUGUGACAAUAACUGCUAGUAUUCACUGCUGCUGUCUUCUGUAGAGAAAGAAAUGAAGUAUAUCAUUGAGGCGACGGUCCCAAAGAAUAGUCACUGUGACUUCAUCAUUGUCAUAAGUUUAUUUUUAUAUUCAUGGUUACAGAACUUUGCUGAAAAUGUUCCUGUUGCUGUAAAAAGAUUGAGAUCCCAAGAACGGCUCAUUCAGUUGCUUUUCUGCUUCUUUUCUUAUGCUAACUCAUGGCCAUAUGUUACGUAAAAAACAUGCGUUACAUUUAGUCCUGCUUUUUGCUAGAGUGUUGUUUGAGAUGCCCAUUAUUGCUACUUUGUAUCAGAAGACUGGUUCCACUUCACGCCACGCUUUGAGCUUCAAGCAACUGUUAUGUCAGUGCCCUCUUUUUUGUUCUACAAGGUGACCAGAAAAAUUCUUGCUAUGUGAUUCAAAAAGUCAGCAUUCUGUGGAAAUAACUGCCAGAUAUGCCUUGAAAGCAGUUGGGGUGUGUGUUGGAAUAAUGGCUACCCAAAACUUGUGUUGCAUCCUCACAGUUGGACCAGUAGUGAAGAAAAAUGGAACUGUUGCUUGAGUGUAGAAGCAGUAUACUGACAUGUGGCGUAGUGUCUAGUGGGGCAUUCAAUGUUCGGCAUGCUUGGAAGUGCCGUAUGGGACCUAUUUCUUGUUAUUUGUGAGCAGCAAAUCAAUUGCAAUGCACCAAGAGCAAUGGCGAACAAGUUGUCAUCACCCAUUAUUGCUUGUUAUGUUUGGCAGUGUGUGGGAUAAACUCUGUCCGAACUUGAACAUCUUUCCAACGUAGUGUAGGUGAAUUGCAACUGUUUUAUCAGAAACCUGGAAGUGUACAACGUACCUGGCUACAAGUAUUGCUGCCUUCAAGACCUUAUCAUCCUGCCUGUGUACCAAACCACAGCAGGGUGUGACAACUAGUUCUCCAACUGCUGUAACGGAUGCCUCCCAAAGCAUUCAAUCACCGCAGUGUCACUGAACGCCCGAGAUUAUUCGACGACUUCUUUUGAAAAAAAUGCAUGUCUGUCGUACAGCAGUCAACCUCGAACACACCUCAUUUUUCUUUAUCCCUGUGGCUUAUAGGAAAGCAUGGAUGUGUUAGUCAUGGUCAAUAUUCCAACCGCCUUUGCAACAUUUGGUGUAAAAUGUGUAAACAACUUGCCCAAAUGGUUACGGUUCCUACACCUUUCUCAAGCGCUUCUUUUGGUUACCUUGUUUUUUUUUUGGUUUAGUUUGCAAACUGAGUUGUUGUUGAUUGUUGUGCAUAUAAAUAUGGAAUAAAGCACUAGUUUUGUUAU